rnacentral:rRNA from 1 species
GACGAACGCUGGCGGCGUGCCUAAUACAUGCAAGUUGAGCGCUGAAGGUUGGUACUUGUACCAACUGGAUGAGCAGCGAACGGGUGAGUAACGCGUGGGGAAUCUGCCUUUGAGCGGGGGACAACAUUUGGAAACGAAUGCUAAUACCGCAUAAAAACUUUAAACACAAGUUUUAAGUUUGAAAGAUGCAAUUGCAUCACUCAAAGAUGAUCCCGCGUUGUAUUAGCUAGUUGGUGAGGUAAAGGCUCACCAAGGCGAUGAUACAUAGCCGACCUGAGAGGGUGAUCGGCCACAUUGGGACUGAGACACGGCCCAAACUCCUACGGGAGGCAGCAGUAGGGAAUCUUCGGCAAUGGACGAAAGUCUGACCGAGCAACGCCGCGUGAGUGAUGAAGGUUGUCGGAUCGUAAAACUCUGUUGGUAGAGAAGAACGUUGGUGAGAGUGGAAAGCUCAUCAAGUGACGGUAACUACCCAGAAAGGGACGGCUAACUACGUG